GAUUAACGCUGGCGGCGUGCAUAACACAUGCAAGUCGAACGAUGAAACUUAACUGAUUUCUUCGGAAUGAUUUUAAGUGGAUUAGUGGCGGACGGGUGAGUAACGCGUGAGUAACCUGCCUUGGAGAAGGGGAUAGCCUUUGGAAACGAAGAAUAAUACCCUAUGAUAUGAUAAUAUCUCAUGAUAUUAUCAUCAAAGAUUUAUCGCUCUAAGAUGGACUUGCGUCUGAUUAGUUAGUUGGUGAGGUAACAGCUCACCAAGGCAGCGAUCAGUAGCCGGCUUGAGAGAGUGUACGGCCACAUUGGGACUGAGACACGGCCCAGACUCCUACGGGAGGCAGCAGUGGGGAAUUAUGCACAAUGGGGGAAACCCUGAUGCAGCGACGCCGCGUGAUUUAGAAGGCCUUCGGGUUGUAAAAAUCUUUUGUAUGGGAAGAAAAUGACAGUACCAUACGAAUAAGGACCGGCUAAUUACGUG
rnacentral:rRNA from 1 species